UUGCUUCUACAGCACAUAUAAUAAAAUUGGAACAAUACAGAGAAGAUGAGCAUGGAGCCUGUGUAAGGAUGGCACACAAAAACAGUAAUUUGAAAGGAAACCU